GGUCCCGUAGCUCAGCUGGAUAGAGCAACGGAUUUCUAAUCCGUAGGUCAGAGGUUCGAAUCCUCUCGGGAUCA
rnacentral:tRNA from 1 species